UACGUAGGUGGCAAGCGUUGUGCGGAAUUACUGGGCGUAAAGCGUGCGCAGGCGGUGAUGUAAGACAGAUGUGAAAUCCCCGGGCUCAACCUGGGAACUGCAUUUGUGACUGCAUCGCUGGAGUGCGGCAGAGGGGGAUGGAAUUCCGCGUGUAGCAGUGAAAUGCGUAGAUAUGCGGAGGAACACCGAUGGCGAAGGCAAUCCCCUGGGCCUGCACUGACGCUCAUGCACGAAAGCGUGGGGAGCAAACAGG
rnacentral:rRNA from 1 species